UAAUCGGAAUUACUGGGCGUAAAGCGCACGCAGGCGGUCUGUCAAGUCGGAUGUGAAAUCCCCGGGCUCAACCUGGGAACUGCAUUCGAAACUGGCAGGCUUGAGUCUUGUAGAGGGGGGUAGAAUUCCAGGUGUAGCGGUGAAAUGCGUAGAGAUCUGGAGGAAUACCGGUGGCGAAGGCGGCCCCCUGGACAAAGACUGACGCUCAGGUGCGAAAGCGUGGGGAGCAAACAGGAUUAGAUACCCUGGUAGUCCACGCCGUAAACGAUGUCUACUUGGAGGUUGUGCCCUUGAGGCGUGGCUUCCGGAGCUAACGCGUUAAGUAGACCGCCUGGGGAGUACGGCCGCAAGGUUAAAACUCAAAUGAAUUGACGGGGGCCCGCACAAGCGGUGGAGCAUGUGGUUUAAUUCGAUGCAACGCGAAGAACCUUACCUGGUCUUGACAUCCACGGAAGUUUUCAGAGAUGAGAAUGUGCCUUCGGGAACCGUGAGACAGGUGCUGCAUGGCUGUCGUCAGCUCGUGUUGUGAAAUGUUGGGUUAAGUCCCGCAACGAGCGCAACCCUUAUCCUUUGUUGCCAGCGGUCCGGCCGGGAACUCAAAGGAGACUGCCAGUGAUAAACUGGAGGAAGGUGGGGAUGACGUCAAGUCAUCAUGGCCCUUACGACCAGGGCUACACACGUGCUACAAUGGCGCAUACAAAGAGAAGCGACCUCGCGAGAGCAAGCGGACCUCAUAAAGUGCGUCGUAGUCCGGAUUGGAGUCUGCAACUCGACUCCAUGAAGUCGGAAUCGCUAGUAAUCGUGGAUCAGAAUGCCACGGUGAAUACGUUCCCGGGCCUUGUACACACCGCCCGUCACACCAUGGGAGUGGGUUGCAAAAGAAGUAGGUAGCUUAACCUUCGGGAGGGCGCUUACCACUUUGUGAUUCAUGACUGGGGUGAAGUCGUAACAAGGUAACCGUAGGGGAACCUGC
rnacentral:rRNA from 1 species